UGGGGAAUAUUGCACAAUGGGCGCAAGCCUGAUGCAGCCAUGCCGCGUGUAUGAAGAAGGCCUUCGGGUUGUAAAGUACUUUCAGCGAGGAGGAAGGCGGUAAGGUUAAUAACCUUAUCGAUUGACGUUACUCGCAGAAGAAGCACCGGCUAACUCCGUGCCAGCAGCCGCGGUAAUACGGAGGGUGCAAGCGUUAAUCGGACUUACUGGGCGUAAAGCGCACGCAGGCGGUCUGUCAAGUCGGAUGUGAAAUCCCCGGGCUCAACCUGGGAACUGCAUUCGAAACUGGCAGGCUAGAGUCUUGUAGAGGGGGGUAGAAUUCCAGGUGUAGCGGUGAAAUGCGUAGAGAUCUGGAGGAAUACCGGUGGCGAAGGCGGCCCCCUGGACAAAGACUGACGCUCAGGUGCGAAAGCGUGGGGAGCAAACA
rnacentral:rRNA from 1 species